AAAAAAAAGAACAUAAAAGGCGCCAUCAUCUGACAGGAUGGAGAACUUGAUUGACUUAUGACGUCCGGGUGUGUUUUCCUUCGUUUCUUCCACUCGCUCCGACAUGUUGUGACGUCGUUUGUUUUCUACAGUUGGAAUUCGCAUUAUCUGGGUGAAACCGAUUGCCAGCGGGCCCUUUUUGCAACUCGUGGCUUAGCAACAAUUCCAAGUAAACGAUAUUCGUCAUACUUGGACGCAAUCAAGUGGAUCCUACAUAUUCGGCCUUCGCAGCUAAAGUUCACAGAUGACAACGGCUCUCAAAAAUCGGUCAUAUUCGUCUUUGGGGAUUCAAAUUGCUGGCUUCUAUUGUUUCCGCUACGUUUUUUGCCCGAUAGAGGCAAAAUUCCGAGAAUGAAAAUGAAGAAUUUGGCAACGUGCAAUGUUGUUGUUGCAGCCGAAAAUUUUGGCGGGAGCAAGGCCAGCUGAUGUCAAAAGUUUAUAUUUCUGAAAGAAAAUGACAAAUCCCUCGAUAUACUUGGAAAAGCCGUGUAUUUUGAAAUCUACACCACCCCAACGACGAAAUGGAUGAAAUGAAAAAUAUAAGAACCUGAAACGUUUGAGAAAUUUGUUCAGAAACUUCAGUUACAACAGCGGCUUGUUCUCGAAGGCGAGCUGCGAAUAAGAUAACGCGUUAAUUAAAAUUGAAUGAGGUAAAUAGUCCUUAAGAAUAAAUCGAAAAAAUUCACUAGACUAUGGUCAGUAGUGAAGAAAACCUGGAGCUAUGUAUGGUUUGUGAAAAGGCUGAAGAAUCCUCCGAGCUUGGUCUUGUACUCCAGUCAGAUGGAACUCGUGAUCUAACUUAAGACAAAGCUAUUUCAAGAUUUUGUGGAAUUAUCAUUCAACUACAUGAACCGCUGUUUGAGCGAUUUUGCAGAAUACCCCCAGCUUAGACCUUGAGAUAAAGCAACUUCUGGAUGAAAUCAAUUAGCUGGAUAUUCUCAGUUGGAAAGUUAAUUAAGAGCCAAGUCUGAACUGAAGGAUGAGAAAAUUGCCAAAUGUGUUAAAUUACUGAUUAUGUUCAUGGCUAAAAGAAAAUUUCACGACGCUCCUUCUUUUA